CUACAGUUUUGGUGAGGUGAAAGUGCACAUUCACACAAUGGUGGGUGACAUUUGUGAAAUAAAUGCCACAUUUACCAGUGAUUCAGAACUGGGUCAAUCUUCCCUCUGUCCCAGCAAUGUGCUGCUGUUGUUCCAAACUAAAUGGCUUCCCUCAUAAUCUAUGGGAGCUCAGCACUGCCUGCAAACUCCUUGGGAAAGAGUUGCUGUAAUCUUGUCAAUCAGAGUUGGGAAAGGGGAAUUAUCAGAGGCUUGUAGCAAUCCACGUGAAAUUCCCAAAGUCGUGACGAGAAAAGUUCAUAUCAGUUAAUUGUGAUUUGUGUUUUAUUUCUUGCAGGAGGAAGUUGGUCGCAAGAUGAGGGUUCAUGAUGAAGCCAAACCACUGUCAGUCGUAGAUGGAGCCUUGCCGAUCGAAAGAUUUGAUAACCCUUUUCUGCUCAACACCGUAUUAAAAGAAACAACUGAUGUCAUCAAGAAAGUCUCCGUCACCCUGGAUGUGGAAACAGCGCAUCCGCGGCUCGAGGUGUCU